CUGAGAACGUGACCGUUUAGAGGAGUUCAACGGUAUUUUGUCUUUUAUGUGAUACUGUUGUGAGUGUGGUGUUCAAGAUUGAACACAGGACCUCAUGCACAGCAGGUACCCUCUGUACCCUCGUUGACUGUCCUACAAGAUGAGACAUUACAGCAUCUCUAAUUUCCAAGUAUCCCCAUCUUGGUUCAAAGAAGAAACUGAGCAUCAAUGGAGUUGCUCCAGUUGUGGCAAGAUAGCCAGCCACUAUGGCCUUAAUUCAUCUACACACAAAAAUACUGCCCAGGAAAAGGACGGAAUAUGGGGAACAGUCGACCAAUAGCUCUGCCAAUACAGGAAUAAAGUUCAUUUACCCACUAUGGCUUCCAGUUCCACUGUAAUCUGGCAUUGGUCUUUUUUCUGCUUUUCACCUGAGAUUCUCUGGAUGAUAACCUGAAGCUCUUUGCUUGACAUAGUCCUUAUUUGGCUCAGUAUUGCCUGAGGCAAAGCAAUAAGGUUGAGCUUGGUCACUUUCCUAAAAAGUUAUCUGAAGAAUGGGCCAGCAUGAUAUAACCCAACAUGAAACACAUGUAAAACCUUCAUAGAGAUGAAUCCUGUGACCCCCAACUACAAGACUUUUGAUAUUUGAGCAUGAAGUGCUAUGACUGCAGGAAGAGACCUUGGAGGGAAAUUUACCAUAACGAGAAGAUCAUGAAACCGGUUAUGACUAGAUCUUGCUCAAUUUCAAAUUCUGUCGAUUACUAGUCCUGUGCUGUGGGACGGUUUGACAUUUCAGAGAUUCUGUUCUUUCGCUGUAAAGUGGAUAAAAUGGUGCCUAAUGUAGUAGAUGAUUGUGACAGCUCGGUGAUAAAGUGCCAAUUAAAUGCUUAGUGGAGUGUUUAACACGUGGCAAGUGUGCAAUAUACGCCAGGUAUCAUUUGACACUUCAUUUGCUACUUGGCUCUUGGGGCUCAACCUCAGUUUAUGACUGAGUGUGCUGCAUUAAAAACACAGGCAAAGACCAAUGGAAACUUCCUAGUGCUUGAGAAAGGACUGACACUGUGGUACAUCCUGUGACUCCAUGAGAAUUCUCAUUCUGUAUAUUUCAGAGCAUUUUCUGUAAGUCAAACGAUACCUUUUUUCUAAGCAGAGACUAUAGUAUGAUCUGUGAAUUAGUGUGUCAGAGUCAUCAAAACAUAAGGAUCUUAACUCUAUGAUUGUCUGCUUAAAGUCAACUAUACUAUCAGGAUCAUUUGUUUGCCUUUAUAGUAAUGUACCAAUAGUCAAUACACAAACAAUAAAUACCAAAUACCUGAGUAUUUAGUAUUUAUCAAUCAUUCUGCAGAUGUCUUAUUUUUAAUAACUGAAUGGAAGAAUGACUAUUUUAUUAGCCUAUUCUGAACUUAAGAUGAAGGCUAACAUGAAUGGAGUUGUCAGAUGUGUGUAAUAAGCACAUAGCAGAGUUAAUUCACACAUAUUGCAUUUCAAAGUAUAGGUUACAGCACAGAAAUCAGAGUAAUUCAAGUAUGAUGGACAUCUAUGAUGUAGAAAAGGUCAAUAAAAUAAUUUCAUUGAAAAUUUCUACUAUGAUUGGUUGUUAGAAAUAUAUAGAGAUGAAUUUCAGAAUACUAAAUAUGACUAUAUGAUAUGUGCCUCCCACUUUAUCUAAAUAAAGUUUGCUUUGUAA